UUACAUUGCUUAUAAAUAACUUUAUCCAAUUAAGUGUUUUUGAAUGUGUGCAUGUGUAAUGUAUGAAAUUGUUUGACUGAUUUUAUCUACGAUAAUUGUUCAAUCCACCAGUAAACGUGAGAUAAAUGUCGAGAGAAUAAAUAUCUAGGAACUAAUUUUUAAAUGCGUGUUUCAUUCCGAACAUGAUUUGUGAUGCGCAUGACAGUAACACGGAAACUGCAUGUUUAUUUUUGAUAACGGUUUAACACGAUUUAAACCCUUGCAAUUAUUUCAUUGUAGAUCGUUUACUGUGUAUAAGAUGGAGGACCAGGAGAUGCAACUGAAAGUUAAAAGAGUGACUGACAAAUUCACGGAGAACAUGUACGUGUUGGCUAACGAGCCAUCAGUGGCUCUUUAUCGACUGCAAGAACACGUUAGAAGGUCCCUCCCAGAGCUAGUACAACACAAAACAGAUAUGCAGAGCUGGGAGGAGCAAAGCCAAGGAGCAAUCUACACUGUGGAAUAUGCAUGCAGUGCAGUGAAAAGCAUGACAAACAGCAGCCUGUACUUCAAAAGCAUCGAUGGCCUCCUUCGUCAAGCCAUCAGCAUGAAGGAACAGAUCAGCACCUCCCAGGGGCGCAGGUAAGAGGCAGUAAACAACCACUCACUUUGGCUCUGGGAAACCAUAAUAACACUGUGUCAUUUACACAGUAACAACACUGUAUCCUUCAUUUGUCUGAUUGCCCACAACCCACUCAUCACUGCUGAGGAGAAAAAACACAAUCUCCCUGCUCAAGGGUGGAGUUGAUGAGGCUUAUAAACUCCUUUUGAGUGAAAGCCAAGGUAACUUUUUCAUAGACGUGGGCCACCAUUUCUUGUUUGUAGUUAUUUUCCUUUGCAAUCAUCCUUUCUUUGCAUUAUUUUAUUUGCCAUUUUUGUGUCUCAGUUCUGUUUACUUUAUUAUUUCCCUCCAUUGGCACAUGCAUGCAGCGCACAUGAAGUGACCCCCUCUCCCAUUCCCCCUGCCACUCCACCACAUCCCCCAUCCACUUCCUCCUGACCUUUGGAAGACACUGUCCAAGGAGAAGAACCAUAGACCCAAGAGUGCUGAAGGAAGGAGGAGAGAAACACAGCUCUGGGACAUGAUGAUGACGACAUUGUGGCAUUGCAGUGAGGCUCUGGCUAAGUUCCCUCUGAAAGGGAGCUGUGGGGUCAGGAGGUCAUUCGCCCUACCAUCACAAUGGUGCCCUGCCCCCACCACCUCAACAAGACACUCAAUGGAAUGGAAAGCCAGCAGCUUUGCCAGGACAUACCUUAACAUACUUAUUUAACACAUCAAAUAAGUCAUUAUUUUGGUCCUUGUGUAUCAAUCAAUUGGAGGGAUUCUGAAAGUAGUGACUUUUGCCUCUGCUGCAAAUUAACUGGAAUAUAUCUGUAGGAAUCUAAAUUAAGUUUUCCUUUCUAGGGUCACAACUAUUUGGUAGAAGCUGUUAAUUGUUUAGCCGUUGGUCUAAACGUAUGUAAUGUCUGAUAAUUUAGCUAAAGCAGAUUCAUUUAAAAGCUUGCACGUGAGGUUCAUUUGUAUUUAUUAUGGAACCCCAUUAGCUGCUGCCAAAGCAACAGCUACACUUCUUGGGAUCCAGCAAAAAUGAAUGAAUAUAUAUAUAUAUAAUUUUAAACAUUAAAAUAAAUGUUACAACAUAUUAACUGUCUCUCUGCAGGCCACUACUCUAAUGCAACACACUAUCCAGGUGUGUGUGUAGGGUACCUGUGUGUGUACCCAUGUGUGUGACCCUUCAGUCCUCACUGUUCCAUAAGGUUUAUUUGUCUUUUUUUAAAUCUGAUUUUAUUGCUUUUGGGAGUUACUUGAUGUGGAAUAGAGUUAUGUGGUCUGACUACUGUGUACAUAACGCUACCAAAUAAGUAGCAGUUUGUUACUUUUGAUUUUGCCAAUGAGUUUGGGGUGACAAGUGUUAAGACCAGCUGGAUGCAGAUUGCUUUGGUCCACAAUAUGUCCUGGUCAUUAACUAGGCCUUACUGUUAUUUGUUGUUGGUCUUACCUGCUAAGUAUACUGAAACCCCAAGGCAAAAUAGUCCUAUGGCCACAUGUCGGACAGCUCGGCUAUCCAAUAGGAACCAGUCUGCUCUGUGGGAGGAAAUUAAGCAAAUGCAAUCAGUUACAUGACCAUACUAUUUGUGGAAUGUGCUAAAUUAUGUAUUUAGACCAAAAUAAAUCAAUUCAAGGUUGUAAUUAG